rnacentral:rRNA from 1 species
GACGAACCGUGCGAACGUUAUUCGGAAUCACUGGGCUUAAAGGGCGCGUAGGCGGGCUCGCAGGUCAGGGGUGAAAGCCCACGGCUCAACCGUGGAACUGCUGGGUAUACUGGUUGUCUUGAGCCAGCUAGGGGCGAGCGGAACAGACGGUGGAGCGGUGAAAUGCGUAGAUAUCGUCUGGAACGCCGAAGGUGAAAACAGCGCGCUGGGGCUGCGCUGACGCUGAGACACGAAAGCCAGGGGAGCGAACGGG